rnacentral:misc_RNA from 1 species
AAAAAAAGGAGCUGAAUGACUUUUAUAUCACAUCUUAGGACUCUUUUCUUCUUUAGGAGGUGCAAACUGUCUGCUGAGUCGGGAUUUUGUCCAGGGAUCCAAAGGUUCUCGCUGUGGUGGUUGAGGAGUUGGAGGUUUUGACUGUCUAAGCUCAUUUUCUCUAUCGAUAAACUCAAUGUAGGCCAUUGGUGCAGCAUCACCAACUCUUAUGCGGGUCCGAAGCAGUCUUGUGUAACCACCUGCUCUAUCCUUGUAACGAUAAGCCAGUUCUGUAAAUAGCUUGUGAAGGACAUCAUCCCCUCUUACAAAAGCAGCUGCACGCCUUGCAGCACAAAGGGAGCCCUCUUUCCCAAGCUGUACCAUAUUAUCUGCAAGUCGUCGUAUCUCUUUUGCCUUGGCAACAGUGGUUUCAAUGCGCUCGUGCUUCACCAACUGGGAAACCAUUGUUCUGAGCAUAGACAUACGGUGACCUGUGGGUCGACCUAGCUUUCUAAAUUUCGUCAUUUCAAGAUCCAGAGAGAAAGCCUCUGCGUCUGUGAGUUCUUAUUUCGUGGACAGAGAAAUGAAAUACCCUACUCAGAAGAACGCCUUGCGUCUCUCUCCCUGGCGGCUGGCUGUUUGAUCAAGUGUGACUGAAAGUGAAGGAUUCACAGAUUCAUGGAUCAUGGAUGGGCUUCUCCUAAC